GGUGGAAUGGCCGAGUCGUUAAGGCGUAUGAUUUAGAACUUUUGUCCGGAUCUCAUAUGGGAAACCGCGUGGGUUCAAAUCCCACUUCCAUCA